AUGGGGUGCAGCAGGCGAGAAAACUUUGCAAUGUGCGAAAGCACGACAAGGUUAAUCCGAGCGAUUUCUGCUAAAGAAAUCUUUUGCAAGUCAUAAAACCACUAGUGAAUAAGGGGUGGGCAAGCUCUGGUGUCAGCCGCCGCGGUAAAACCAGCACCUCAAGUGGUCAGGAGGAUUAUUGGGCCUAAAGCAUCCGUAGCCGGCUCUGUAAGUUUUCGGUUAAAUCCAUGUGCUCAANNNANNGGCUGCCGAAAAUACUGCAUAGCUAGGGAGUGGGAGAGGUAGACGGUACUCGGUAGGAAGGGGUAAAAUCCUUUGAUCUAUCGAUGACCACCUGUGGCGAAGGCGGUCUACCAGAACACGUUCGACGGUGAGGGAUGAAAGCUGGGGGAGCAAACCGGAUUAGAUACCCGGGUAGUCCCAGCUGUAAACGAUGCAGACUCGAUGAUGCAUUGGCAUAUAGCCAGUGCAGUGUCGCAGGGAAGCCGUUAAGUCUGCCGCCUGGGAAGUACGUACGCAAGUAUGAAACUUAAAGGAAUUNNNNGGGGAGCAC
rnacentral:rRNA from 1 species